CCCUUAGAUGUUCUGGGCCGCACGCGCGCUACACUGAUGAAUGCAACGAGCUCUACCCUUGACCGAAAGGCCCGGGUAAACUUGUGAAACUUCAUCGUGAUGGGGAUAGAUUAUUGCAAUUAUUAAUCUUCAACGAGGAAUUCCUAGUAAGCGCGAGUCAUCAGCUCGCGUUGAUUACGUCCCUGCCCUUUGUACACACCGCCCGUCGCUCCUACCGAUUGAAUGAUCCGGUGAAAUCUUCGGAUUGCUGACCAAGAUCCAGCAAUGGAGCUUGGUUGCGAGAAGUUGAUUAAACCUUAUUAUUUAGAGGAAGGAGAAGUCGUAACA
rnacentral:rRNA from 1 species